GUGCAGACCUAGGAUGACAAGCCACCUGCCAGUGCUGGAGACCACUGCUGUGCAUGCUGCCGCCUUCUUGUUCAUGUACCUCCCCCUCCCUCAUCCUUCAUGUUUACUUCUUUCACCGAAAUGAAAAUUGGUUGACAACAGAGCAGACGCUUCCUAAACCUCUCAAGAAAUCCUGAAGCAAGCCAUGCCUCUUGAAUGAAACAUAGACAGCUGAUUCCUGGCCCGGUGCUGCCUUCUGUCUGCAAUGGAGUUCCUGUGCUGUUUAGACGAUUGCUUGCCUCUCAGAUGUCACAGUUGGUGAUAUGUAUGUUUACUGAGCAAUUGCUGUAGCCCCACAUUGCCCUUGACUGGAGAUACUGAAUAUACCAGCAAGCAGCACGAGACGUAUACAUUAUUGAAUCCUCAUCUUUGGCGCAUGGAGGGCUGGCUCUUCAACCCUACUGGUUUAGCCCAUGUAACAAAUGACUGAGGUGGAACCCACAGUGAAAAUACAAUGAUCACUCAGUCUAUUUAGUGCAAUGACUGAAGCAGGCUGAGGGAAACUGCUCAGGUCGUUCUGGUGUGGCCCUGCUGCCUUCUGAGGGAGUGGUGAAUUGGCAAUUACUCUGAUAAAUGUGGCUGCUGGAGACCCAUCUCUGUACAUUCAACAAACAUUAAUCAAGAGUCUACAAUGGGCCAGUCCCUACCAAAACCUGAGCCCUUGAGACAGAAAGCUAACAUAACUGUCUUCUGAGAGGCUCCAUCCAGCAGUCAGUGAAAACAGAUACAGAGACCGACACUCAAACAUUAGAUGGAGCUCAAGGAGUCUUAAGGAAGAGUUUGAGGAAGGAUUGAGGGACUCGAAGAGGACACAGACCUCAAAGGAAAACCAACAGAGUCAGCUAACCUGGACACUUGGGGACUCCCAGAGACUGAAUCACAAAACAAAAGUGAGCAUGAGCUGGGCUAGGCUUCCUCACAUAUGAAGCAGAUGAGCAGCUUAGUCUUCAUGCAGGUCCACCAACAACUAAAGUGGGGGCUGUCCCUGAGCCUGUUGUGUGCCUGUGGACUCCAUACCACUAAAUGGGUAGCCUUGUCUGGCUCAGUGAGAGAGGAUGUGACUAGUCCAGCAGCUAUUUGAUGUGCAGGGGGUGGGGGUAGGGGUCGUGAGGGGUUAGGUGUUUGACACCCAGAGGGGGUUUCACAUUCUCUUUUGAAAAGGGGAAGGUGGAAUAGGAGGAGGGCUUUCCUGAGGAGUACUGGGAGGAGAGGAAGGGCUGAUAUUGUGUUGUAAAGUGAAUAAAUAAGUAAAUUAAAAACAAAUAAAACUAACAAAAUUGAGAUCUGUGAUCUAUUUGGAUCUAAGUUUUGUACAGAGUGAUAGAGAUUGGUAUUAUUUUAUUCUUCUGUAUGUGGACAUACAGGUUUUCCAGUGCCAUUUGUUAAAGAUGCUAUCUCUUCUCUCGAGAGGUUUUUCCUCAUUGUCAAAUAUCAGAUGGCUAUAGUUAUGAGAACUCACAUGUGGGUCUUCUAUUAUUCCAUUGUUCUACAUGUAUGGUUUACGCUAGUACCAUAUUGUUUUAUUACUAUGGCAUCUCUAGAACUCUGGGCUAGCAAUUCCGCUAAAAUUAUUCUUUUGGUUCAGGAAUGGCUUGCCUCUCUGGGAUCCUUUCUCAUUUCAUAUGAAUUUUAUUCUGUCAAGAAUGUGGAUAUUUUAAUUAGUGUUUCAUUGAAUCUGUACAUUUCUUUUAGUAGCUUGGCUAUUUUCACAACUAAUUCUACUGACCCAUGAACACAGAAUGGCUUUGUAUUUUCUAGUUUAUUUCUCAAUCCCUUUCUUCAAAGAUUUGUAAUUUGCAUUGUAGAGGUUUUUCACCUCCUCAGUUAGUUUUAUUCCAAGAUAUUUUAUUGUCAUUGAUGCUAUUGAAAAUAAAAGUGCAUCUUCAAUGUGUUUGUUAUUGAUAUAUAGAAAGGCUGCUGAUUCUUACAAGAUAGAAAGAUAGAUAGAUAGAUAGAUAGAUAGAUAGAUAGAUAGAUAGAUUUUUUUUUCAAGACAGGGUUUCUCUAUGUAGCCAUGGCUGUCCUGGAACUCACUCUGUAGACCAGGCUGGCCUUGAACUCAGAAAUCUGCCUGCCUUGCCUCCCAAGUGCUGGGAUAAAAGGUGUGUGCCACUACUGCCUGGCAUUAUGUAAGUAUUAUUACAAGUACUCUGCAAUUUUGCUGAAAUUGUUGUUUCUAGAAGUUUUAUUCUUUUUUUAAAAUUAGGUAUCUUCCUCAUUUGCAUUUCCAAUGCUAUCCCAAAAGUCCCCUAUACCCUACCCCCCACCCCCCUACCCACCCACUUCCACUUUUUGGCCCUGGCAUUCCCCUGUACUGGGGCAUAUAAANNNUCUUUUGAUACAUAUGNNNNNNNNNNNNNNNNNNNNNNNNNNGUGUUUUGUUCCCAAUUCUAAGAAGGGGCAAAGUGUCCACACUUUGGUCUUCGUUCUUCUUGAGUUUCAUGUGUUUUGAAAAUUGUAGCUUAUAUUUAUUCUUAAGGACUAUAUAUAAGAAUUUAGGUGGGGGUGUGGUAAGAAAGUAGCUUAGUGAGAGAUCUCUACUCUUUUGAGGUUCAAGUUCAAAAACCAAAAAGGAAAAACAAAUCCCUUUGAUUUUCAUCUUUAAAUUUUGGUAUCAAUCAAUCUAGUAUAAAUUUGUCUAUCACAAAAAUGGCUUGAAGCAUUCAUUGUCAAUCAAUUGGCUCUGAAAUUGUGUUUUUGUCUUGAGUUAUAUUUCCCACUUACUAUGGAUAUUAAACAUCUCUGUAUACUAUUAUUAGCUAGUUGUAUUUUGCAUCUGAUCCCCACUCAGUCUUCUGAAGUCCACUUUUUAUUUGAGUGCUAAUCUGUUCAUUAUGCAUCUAAAUGAACUUUCUGAAUAUUAUUGAUUCUAGGCAUUUGCCCACCAGUCAUUUUACAGAUGCAUUCUUCCAGUUAGCAAUUUGUUGUUCUGUGUCCUUUAAUGUGAGUUGAUGACUAAAAAUAUCUUUCUUGUCAAAAUUUCUAUAAGUAGUAUACAGAAAAGAUCAAAAAUAAAAAUAUUAAAUAUCUCACAUGAAAUAUUUAUGUGUAGUUUACUUAGAAAAUGUGAGAACAUAUAUAUCUUUGUGUUUAAUUAGAAUACUACAUCAAUAUUUUAAAGCUACUAUACAAAUAUUAUAAACAUUAAGUACCUUUGUGCAUUUGUAUAGUUAAUGCUAUUCAGUACAUACUCACUUUUGAAACCAGUAAAAAGAGGACUGAAAUAGCAGAAAAUUAAAAAAUUCUAAUAAAAAGGGGGAAAAUUCUUUCUAUACUGAAGUAAGGUGAUAUUAACAUAAGUACUUAGCAUAUAUUUAGAAUAUUUAUUACCAUAUAUAGUGGGGUCACAUGACAUAUUUUAAAAUCUAAAACAUGUAAAUUUUGUUAAUUUAUUAAAAUGCAUAGCUACAGAAAGAUUUUGAAUAUAACACAGUCAUUGCUAUUCAUUAGAAUUUACUAUCCCUGAAUA
ensembl:lincRNA